rnacentral:rRNA from 1 species
CGCACGGGUGAGUAACACGUAUCCAACCUGCCGUCUACUCUUGGACAGCCUUCUGAAAGGAAGAUUAAUACAAGAUGGCAUCAUGAGUUCACAUGUUCACACGAUUAAAGGUAUUCCGGUAGACGAUGGGGAUGCGUUCCAUUAGAUAGUAGGCGGGGUAACGGCCCACCUAGUCUUCGAUGGAUAGGGGUUCUGAGAGGAAGGUCCCCCACAUUGGAACUGAGACACGGUCCAA